CAAGCGGGUGUGGAAGCAGAUGGAGGAGGACGAGCAGCUGGCCUCCCUCAUGCGCGGCCUCCACGGCCAGAACCUCCGCGACGACAAGGCUGCAUGUGAAAGAAAGCGAACUUGAGCCAAGGUGAUGGUGAUGGAAAUGAAUGAAAGAAAGAGAAGCUGGAUGCCUACCACAAAGAUGAGCAGAGAGCAGGGGAGUUCACU